UAUUGAUGAUUUUACAUGUGAGUUUUUGCGAUUAUUUAUUUUUGUUUCUUAAAGAUUUGAAAUUUGAAUUUAGCAGUUUUUAAUAUUUUUUGUUUCUAAUUACUUAGGAUAAAGUUAAUUUAUUUAUUUAACUAGUCAAAAUUGUGCCAGCGACUGCGGUUAUACAAUUAGUUAAAAUUAAUAUUAUUUGAUUAUUAUAUUUAUAAUUAUUUAUGUUGAUAAUAUACUUUAAAGUUUUUAGGUGAAAUUUGAAUUUUAUAUUUAUUUUUUUGGUUAAUUAGAUUAUAUGAAAUUUUUUAUAUAGACUAGGAUUAGAUACCCUAUUAUUUGAAAUGUAAAAUUAUUUCAUUGGUAUUAAUAGUUAAGGCCUUUAAAUUAAAAGAAUUUGACGGUAAUUUAUCAUUCCAGAGGAGCCUGUCCUUUAAUCGAUAUUCCACGUUAAAUUUUACCUUAAUUUUUGACUUAUAUACCUCUGUUAUAGAGUGUUUUAUUAGGAUUAUUCUCUUUUAUUUUUUGAAAAUUUAUAUCAGGUCAAGGUUUAGUUAUAUUAAGGUUGAGAUGGGCUACAAUUAAUUUUAUUAUUAGAUCUUUAUUUUUAUUUAGUACAGUGAAAUUGGAUUUGGUUGUAAUUUUUAUUAUAUAUUAUUUAUGAUAUUUGUUCUAGAUUAAGUACAUAUCGCCCGUCACUCUCAUUAUUAAUAUGAGAUAAGUCGUAACAAAGUAAGUUUACCGGAAGGUGAACUUGGAAAUAUA
rnacentral:ncRNA from 1 species